AUGUUAGCGGCGGACGGGUGAGUAACACGUGGGUAACCUGCCUGUAAGACUGGGAUAACUCCGGGAAACCGGGGCUAAUACCGGAUGGUUGUUUGAACCGCAUGGUUCAGACAUAAAAGGUGGCUUCGGCUACCACUUACAGAUGGACCCGCGGCGCAUUAGCUAGUUGGUGAGGUAACGGCUCACCAAGGCGACGAUGCGUAGCCGACCUGAGAGGUGAUCGGCCACACUGGGACUGAGACACGGCCCAGACUCCUACGGGAGGCAGCAGUAGGGAUCUUCCGCAAUGGACGAAAGUCUGACGGAGCAACGCCGCGUGAGUGAUGAAGGUUUCGGAUCGUAAAGCUCUGUUGUUAGGGAAGAACAAGUGCCGUUCAAUAGGGCGGCACCUUGACGGUACCUAACCAGAAAGCCACGGCUAACUACGUGCCAGCAGCCGCGGUAUACGUAGGUGGCAAGCGUGUCCGGAAUUAUUGGCGUAAAGGGCUCGCAGGCGGUUCUUAAGUCUGAUGUGAAAGCCCCCGGCUCACCGGGAGGUCUUGAAACUGGGGACUUGAUGCAGAAGAGAGAUGAAUUCCACGUGUAGCGUGAAUGCGAGAG
rnacentral:rRNA from 1 species